rnacentral:rRNA from 1 species
AACUAACAAGGAUUCCCCUAGUAACUGCGAGUGAAGCGGGAAAAGCUCAAAUUUAAAAUCUGGCGGUCUUUGGCCGUCCGAGUUGUAAUCUAGAGAAGUAAUGCCCGUGCUGGACCGUGUAUAAGUCUCCUGGGAUGGGGCGUCAUAGAGGGUGAGAAUCCCGUCUUUGACACGGACUACCAGUGCAUUGUGGUAUGCUCUCAAAGAGUCGAGUUGUUUGGGAAUGCAGCUCAAAAUGGGUGGUAAAUUCCAUCUAAAGCUAAAUAUUGGCGAGAGACCGAUAGCGAACAAGUACCGUGAGGGAAAGAUGAAAAGAACUUUGGAAAGAGAGUUAAACAGUACGUGAAAUUGCUGAAAGGGAAACGCUUGAAGUCAGUCGCGUUGGCCAGGGAUCAGCCUUGCUUUUGCAUGGUGUAUUUUCUGGUUGACGGGUCAGCAUCAAUUUUGACCACUGGAAAAGGGCCUGGGGAAUGUGGCAGCUUAGGCUGUGUUAUAGCCCCUGGUCGCAUACAGUGGUUGGGAUUGAGGAACUCAGCACGCCGCAAGGCCGGGUUUCGACCACGUUCGUGCUUAGGAUGCUGGCAUAAUGGCUUUAAGCGACCCGUCUUGAAACACGGACCAAGGAGUCUAACAUGCCUGCGAGUAUUUGGGUGGAAAACCCGAGUGCGCAAUGAAAGUGAAAGUUGAGAUCCCUGUCGUGGGGAGCAUCGACGCCCGGACCAGAACUUUUGGGACGGAUCCGCGGUGGAGCAUGUAUGUUGGGACCCGAAAGAUGGUGAACUAUGCCUGAAUAGGGUGAAGCCAGAGGAAACUCUGGUGGAGGCUCGUAGCGAUUCUGACGUGCAAAUCGAUCGUCAAAUUUGGGUAUAGGGGCGAAAGACUAAUCGACCAUC